rnacentral:rRNA from 1 species
GAUGAACGCUAGCGGCAGGCUUAAUACAUGCAAGUCGAGCGGAUGAAAGAGGAGCUUGCUCCUCUAGAUUCAGCGGCGGACGGGUGAGUAACACGUGGGCAACCUGCCCUGUAGAUUGGGAUAACUCCGGGAAACCGGGGCUAAUACCGAAUAAUCCUUCGGACUUCAUGGUCCGAUGUUGAAAGACGGUUUCGGCUGUCACUCCAGGAUGGGCCCGCGGCGCAUUAGCUAGUUGGUGAGGUAACGGCUCACCAAGGCCACGAUGCGUAGCCGACCUGAGAGGGUGAUCGGCCACACUGGGACUGAGACACGGCCCAGACUCCUACGAGAGGCAGCAGUAGGGAAUUUUCCACAAUGGACGAAAGUCUGAUGGAGCAACGCCGCGUGAACGAUGAAGGUCUUCGGAUUGUAAAGUUCUGUUGUUAGGGACGAAUAAGUACCGUUCGAAUAGGGCGGUACCUUGACGGUACCUGACGAGAAAGCCACGGCUAACUACGUGCCAGCAGCCGCGGUAA